UUCAAAUUUAUUAGCCAUUCCAUGAGACUUGAGAGAUGGACAGAGAGAGAGAGAGAACAGAAAAAGCCUGUUAAAAUAAUACGUUUGCUGUGUAUAUAGUUCAUAACAAUCUUGUUAAAAUAUGCGUUUCGCCCCUGAAAUUUGGACCAGAUUCUGGUUUAAUUGCUAAAGCAGGCAUCAAUCAUUAGGGUCAGGCUACAGUAUAACUGUGGUACCGUGCCACAGUUACACCAGCCAUUGGAUCCACUCAAAUGAGUGAGAUUCACUUAAAUAAGUGGAAAUCCAACGGUUGGGUGCAACUGUAGCCCAGUACCACAGUUGCACCACAGUUUUAUCCCAAUCAUUAUAUUUUGAAUAUGUGAACUCAAACAAGGGUCAUAACGGACCUAAAGAAACAUGAAUAAUAUAAAUGGGUACACGAUAUCAAUCUGGAAUUCUCCAAACUAUGACUAGCCCCACGUUCUCACUCAGCCGCCUCAGAAAUGAAGAUGUAACAAGGGGAAUGCAUUAACUAUUUUUAUGUACACAAAAUUCUGGAUCCAGUUAUAGAAAAUGUAAGAAGCGAUUAUAGAUCAUCAAAUUUUGUUUGUUGUUGUGGGUGGGGUGUGUGGCGGCCGGGGAAGGAAUGGAGGAGUUGAAUAUAAAUUUGUUAAAAAUGAUAUUAUGAGAAUGUUAUGUGUUGAACAGCUUUCUGAAAGGUCCAUCUUUCCGGUCUUUUGCAGCCUCGGUUAAAGCCAGGAACCUCUUGAAUCCAGUUGUUGCAGCCCCUCGUCCAAGUGCAGCUGCUCUGGUUAAUACAUCUUCCCGUGAAGUGAUAAACCCAGCGGAAGCAGAAUUCGGA
rnacentral:lncRNA from 1 species